UACGUCUGUUUGAGAAGUGCUGCUGGUGUCUGGCUGUAGCAGUAGAAGUGGUGUUUGGUGGCACCAUGCUGGUGGUGGUAGUUCUCUGACACUAAGUCAGGGUUUGCUGUGGUAAUUGGCCCUGUGGCUUGCAGAGUCCUGUGUUGGACUCAGGGUGAGAACCUGUGAGUAUGGCUGAGACAGUUGUUUGCAUUCACAGCCAGUCCUGUCUGUACAUGUCCCCCACCCUUUCCUGGUGCUGUCAUCUCCCUUGUACAAAACCAUCCUCCUGUUUUGCAGUUUCCUGCUUCCCUGUUGGCAUCUGUUUUUAGCUCUGCCACUUCUGUAUCACUGUCCUCUGAUUGUAAUUGCUGCAGGCAAAGAGGCAAGGAUAGGGGAGAUUAAUAAAUUGUCAGGAAAGAAAAACCAAAACAACCGAGAAUGUUCUUGGGGAAGGUUCAGGCAGAAGUUUGGAAAUACAGAGAGAGGAGGAUGUAAAUAUUUCUGGGACUCAAGGAGCAGAGUGAUGGAGUAAAGGAUUUGGGGGCUUGCUACUAAUCUGUCAGGAAAUGUUAUGACAUUGUGGUGGCAGCAGGAGCAGAAGGAAGCAGCUGGAGCUGUGGACUCCUGCCCUCGGAGUGCUCUGUGUGCUCACGGCUGUCUGGUGAGGGGCAGAGACGAAAGGUCGGCGGAGCAGAGCCCUGGUGGAUCCAUGCCCAGCACAAUUGCUCCUGGCUUGUUCCCCAUGGCAUUUAGCUAAAUGUUUGGGGCUUAGUUUGCUUUUUGGUUUUGGGGAGAUGGUUUUAUUUUGGGGUUUGUUUUUUUUUUAAAGAAAAACAAAAGUGCUGCAGCUGAGGUCACUAUUUUUGGUGUCCAACAUGUGAUUUCACUAUUUCUUAAAUAUGUUUCUGACAGCAUAAAUGUUGUGGAACUAAGCUGUUUUCUGCUUCAGAUGUCUGAGCUUUACAGAGUGUUUUGGUAUCCUGUUUCUUCACCCACUCCUAAAACAGAAGAUUAAAUAGAGCAAGAUGCAUCUGAAACCCUUUAUUUCCUCUUGUUUUUCCUGCCCUACUCUACCUUUUGUCAGGGGGUUAAAAGAGUAAAGCCAAUAGGAUCCUGAAUUUCCUGGCACAGGAGCACCACAUUAGCACUGUUUGAGCCAUGCGGGGGCUGAAAGCUCUUUAAUGGUGUUAAUUUGGGCACAGAGAUGUCUGCAUACGGGAGGUGACACUUUUCCCUGAGUCCAUCUGCCAGGCAGCCGUAAUUGUGCCUCACUGCUCCUGGAGGUUCUCAUAAAGACAAAUUGCAAGAUCUUUCAUUUUAGAAAUUCAUAAUUUGCUUCCUGAGGAAUCGAAAUACCAUAUUUCUAUUUUCCCUACUCAAACUAGACUCUUGUCGAUCACAGAAGUUUUAUUUAGCACUGGAAUUCUUGUAGGCAGCAAAUGUUUUCAUGCUUCCUUCAGAAUCCUGCAGUUAUUUACUUCUCGAGAUAUUGAGCAAUUUCAGUUAAAAUAAGUGAGAGCAACAGCUAUUAAGUGCCUCCAAAAAUUGGACUCCUCCUGCUAGAAUGGCUAUGUUUGGCAGUUAUCAUCAAUGUAUUUGUCCAGUAUCUCUUCAAAGUCUUUCUUUUCAGUCUUUUUUUUUUCCUAGACACGUCUGUCUGCAUUGCAGGUGAAACAGGCAGGCUGAGCUUUUACAUUAGUAUGAGAUUCCUGCAUUACCAGCCUAAUUCCUCAAUUACCAGCCUGAUUACCUGUAGUUUUUGUUGUUGUUGUAAUUAGAACUGUUGAUUAGAUGUAUUAUUUGUGAAAGACAAGUUGAUGAGUAGCAGUGUGUUCAUGUUUCUGUUCUGUCACAAGGCUUCUGGUUAGGAUUAAUCUCCUUUGCCUUUUUUUUUUCUUCUCCUGGGGAUGUAUCACUCAACAGGAGCAACCUCCCCAAAGGGCUGCUGAAAGAGGUGGCCAGCUGCCUAAUUCCUGCCAUCACACUUCCCCAUUUCCCCCCCAGCACUGUUUAAUCUCUGUUAGAUGCGUGUUCGCUGGCACCUGCACAGUGACUUCACUGAAAUAGCUGCCCUCCACAAGGCUUUCAUUAAGCAGCUGAGGGAUGAAUAAGCUUUUUCAUAAUUUAUAAAAAUUAGCCAUGCUUUAGUCUGUGUCAGCCUGACAACAAAAGGAGAUUGUCCAAGGGCUUGUAGUUUUAGUCAGUGCUUGUAUUGCCUUCAGAAGAAAUGUAUAUACAGGUGAGCUAAUAAAUCCCAAUUCCCACAGCUAUCAAGUGGAUUUAGGUGUUUGGACUGAGGUUUCUUAGGACAGCAAUCAAGGGGUGAUAUGUCCUUGUAGAGCAAAAACCUUAAACAGUUUUUCUGCCCUCCUGUGCCAAGCAGCCAGGAGAGGUGAGAUGCAUAGGAGUGUUUUGUCUCCAGUGGUUGCAGAGAGGGGACAGAAGAGUUACACAUUUUAGAUGACUGAAGUUGCAUGGGUGGGAGGUGCCAUCCAAGUUCAUUUGGAGUUGCAAUUGAUCUGUGGGAAAGGAUGGGGGAUGAUUUGUUCCCCUCUGCCUCCCUCCCCUAUUGCCUGUAACUCCACAUGUACUUUGUGCUUAACUGCUUUUAUUAAAUAUGCAUGUAUGGGGGAGGGGGUAAUUUCUUACAUCAGAAAAUCAAUUUUCUGGAGCCUGUAAGGCCAUAGAUGGCCUUAAAAGGAGGAACCAACUUCAGGAGUACUAUAACUUGUUUGUACUUAAACUUCAGUUCUUUGACAUUGUUCCCUGGUUCCAGUCUUGGGACUGCUGCAGGGAGAUGUGCAGCCAGAAGUGGAUGGCAGUUCCAUGCUUGUCUGACACAGCAGCACUCGCUCACUGACCUGCAUGGGUCCCUCCAGCUCCCCUGCCACGUUCCUUCUCCUGUCUCCUUCACUGACCGCUUGGUUUCCUUCUCCCUUCUCAUCCUGCUAACUUGCUUUUCCUUUGCCACCUGCUGUCUUGCAGUCCUCUUCUUUGCUAGCUGCUCGACAGAGCUCCUCCGAUGUCCCAACUGCUGCGGAUCUUGUCAGUGCAAUAGAAAAGUUGGUCAAAACUAAGCUGGUAAGUUUAGUGUUGUGAAAACUGUGUACACAACAGGCCCGAUGUGACUCUAAGGAAGGGCUUUAAAGGCUACCUCUUGUUCUGGUUUCCUUGCUUUCUACCUUCAUCUGCUCUGCUUUUAUUAACCCUGUGUGCUCUGCUUCUCAGUAGUGUCCUAUAUUUUAUUCCCCUGUGAGAUGAAGCCUACAUCUCACGUAGGCUCUGUGCUGCAUAGUCAAAGUCACUUCUGGAGUGGGCUUUGCAGAGCAUGAGCUUCUGUACUAUACAAUUUCUGGGGUCUUGUUAGUAUCCAAAUACUUUACACAGGGGGAUGUUUUGUUUGUUUUGUUUCAAAGCUUGUUCUGAGGCACAGGAGUUUUACUACCCAACGUGGAUUUGUUUGGUGUUCUGGUUUCGAUGAAAAGACUCUAAAGAGUAGAACUGCUUGAAGUACCACAGCUGUGCUUUAAUUUUACAAAGAUUCAUGUGUCACUUUUAAUCUGCCUUGUCAACUCUUUCUUGCAGGGAGUGGAAUAAGUAAUAAAAAUGCUCUGGGAUUAAUUUGUUCAAAAAUU